GACGAACGCUGGCGGCGUGCCUAAUACAUGCAAGUUGAGCGCUGAAGGUUGGUACUUGUACCAACUGGAUGAGCAGCGAACGGGUGAGUAACGCGUGGGGAAUCUGCCUUUGAGCGGGGGACAACAUUUGGAAACGAAUGCUAAUACCGCAUAAAAACUUUAAACACAAGUUUUAAGUUUGAAAGAUGCAAUUGCAUCACUCAAAGAUGAUCCCGCGUUGUAUUAGCUAGUUGGUGAGGUAAAGGCUCACCAAGGCGAUGAUACAUAGCCGACCUGAGAGGGUGAUCGGCCACAUUGGGACUGAGACACGGCCCAAACUCCUACGGGAGGCAGCAGUAGGGAAUCUUCGGCAAUGGACGAAAGUCUGACCGAGCAACGCCGCGUGAGUGAAGAAGGUUUUCGGAUCGUAAAACUCUGUUGGUAGAGAAGAACGUUGGUGAGAGUGGAAAGCUCAUAAAGUGACGGUAACUACCCAGAAAGGGACGGCUAACUUCGUG
rnacentral:rRNA from 1 species